rnacentral:ncRNA from 1 species
AUAAAUAAAGCGCCAGAACAUUAAAAUUAAUAUAUUUUAAUGUUGACGAGGUCUAGAGUUAUCGAAGUUUUCGGCGGAUGCUCUAGUGGUUUCCUAAAAUCAAAAGUAUUCACACAAAAAUAGCAGUAAUGCUUUAACAAAACUGAAUACA